UACGUAGGGGGCAAGCGUUGUCCGGAAUCAUUGGGCGUAAAGAGCGUGUAGGCGGCCUGGUAAGUCCGCUGUGAAAGUCCAGGGCUCAACCCUGGAAUGCCGGUGGAAACUGUCAGGCUCGAGUCCGGAAGAGGCGAGUGGAAUUCCUGGUGUAGCGGUGAAAUGCGCAGAUAUCAGGAGGAACACCAAUGGCGAAGGCAGCUCGCUGGGACGGUACUGACGCUGAGGAGCGAAAGCGUGGGGAGCAAACAGG
rnacentral:rRNA from 1 species